UGGAACGUAUGCAUUGCCACACGCAUAAAUACACACUUACACAAACUGACACUCAUACAUACACAGAUACACAUACACAGACACGCAGGUACACAUACAAACUGACACACAAGUACACGGGCACAGGUAUACAUCCACAUAGAUACACAUAAACACUGACACAAAGGUACACAUACACUGACACAGCCAGAUACACACACACUGACACAAACACAGCCAGAUACACACACACUGACACUCACAUAGCCAG